ensembl:lncRNA
UUCCUGUUGGAAUAAAUAUUGAAGCUUAGGUUGACUGCAUUUAAAAUUCUAUCAAUUGUUGGACUGGCUUCUUUUUUUUUUUCCUUUUGCUGGAUUUUUAAUCCAAAGGAUGUGAAUGUCUGUUUUUUUUUUUCCUCCCCUUUCUUCCUCCUCAGCCUUUUCAGCAUUGUUCCCCAUCCUGCUUUUGCAGCUCCCUUCAUGAAAUGGCACUGAACCCCGGUGUCAGCAUCAUUGUUCUACAAUAAGGGAGCCCACAUCUCUGACUGUUUCCACGCUGCUCGUGCCCAUGCUAGAAAUACCAAAAGAAUGGCAGAGAUGGAGAUGCCUCCCAUUUAUAUUCAUUUGGUAUUUGAUUCUAGUGCUGAAUGUGAGUGGGUCUUGGGUUUUAUUUCCAAGUCAAUAGUGAACUCAAAUGUCACCCAUUUUAGAGGGGACAUUUUAAGUAAGCAUUACCUUUCUUGUCUUUUCAACAUUAAAUCCAAACACGUUGGCAUAUGCAAGUGCAAGCUGUAAAUGAAACCGCGUGCAAGACUUUCUGAAGGACAUGGGAUAGACGACGCAGAUCCCAGCCUCCCAAGGUGUCAGCGUGCAAGACUUUCUGAAGGACAUGGGAUAGACGACGCAGAUCCCAGCCUCCCAAGGUGUCGGCGUUCAAGACUUUCUGAAGGACAUGGGAUAGACGACGCAGAUCCCAGCCUCCCAAGGUGUCGGCGUGCAAGACUUUCUGAAGGACAUGGGAUAGACGACGCAGAUCCCAGCCUCCCGAGGUGUUGGCGUGCAAGACUUUCUGAAGGACAUGGGAUAGACGACGCAGAUCCCAGCCUCCCAAGGUGUCAUGAACGUAUUUGAUGAGGCAAGACAGCUGUCCUCCUCAAUUCGUAAAUAACUCAAAGAUUA